UCCCCGGUAGCUCAGUUGGUAGAGCAGCGGACUGUUAAUCCGCUUGUCGCUGGUUCGAGCCCGGCCCGGGGAGCCA
rnacentral:tRNA from 1 species